CAAUAGCGUAUAUUAAAGCUGUUGCGGUUAAAAAGCUCGUAGGUGGAUUUCUGUCAAGGACAACUGGUCCGCCCCUCGGGUGAGCACAUAGUUUGGUCUUGGCAUCUUGUUGGAAACUGUUGCUGCACUUGGUUGUGUGGCGCAGUGUCCAGCACUUUCACUUUGAGGAAAUUGGAGUGUUUCAAGCAGGCACAUGCCUUUGGACACAGUAGCAUGGAAUAAUUAGAUUGGGCUUUUGCUCCAACUUGUCGGUUUCUGGAGCUGAGGUGAGAAUUAAUGGGGAUUGUUGGGGGCAUCCGAAUUUAGCCGUCAGAGGUGAAAUUCUUGGAUCUGCUAAAGACGGACAACUGCGAAAGCGUUUGCCCAGGAUGUUUUCAUUGA
rnacentral:rRNA from 1 species